rnacentral:rRNA from 1 species
GCCUGCCCAGUGAUUAUAUUAAACGGCCGCGGUAUCCUAACCGUGCAAAGGUAGCGCAAUCACUUGUUCUUUAAAUAAGGACUAGUAUGAAUGGCACCAUGAGGAUCGACUUGUCUCCUAUGGUAAGUCUAUGAAACUGAUCUUCCAGUACAAAAGCUGGAAUAAAACCACAAGACGAGAAGACCCUGUGGAGCUUCAAACGCCAAUCCACCCAAAAUGACAUUGCCGUUUUUAGUUGGGGCGACUUUGGAGAAAAACAAAACCUCCAAACUAAAAAAUUAGGUCAACGCACCCGAUAAUCUCACCUGACCCAAUAUAAUUGAACAAUGAACCAAGUUACCCCAGGGAUAACAGCGCAAUCCUCUUCUAGAGUCCUUAUCGACAGGAGGGUUUACGACCUCGAUGUUGGAUCCGGAUACCCAAAUAGUGCAGCCGCCAUUAAAGGUUCGUUUGUUCAACGAUUAAUAAUCCCACGUGAUCUGAGUUCAGACCGG